UACGAAGGGGACUAGCGCUGUUCGGAAUUACUGGGCGUAAAGCGCACGUAGGCGGAUUUGUUAGUCAGGGGUGAAAUCCCGGGGCUCAACCUCGGAGCUGCCUUUGAUACUGCAAGUCUCGAGUCCGAUAGAGGUGGGUGGAAUUCCUAGUGUAGAGGUGAAAUUCGUAGAUAUUCGGAAGAACACCAGUGGCGAAGGCGGCUCACUGGCCCGGUACUGACGCUGAGGUGCGAAAGCGUGGGGAGCAAACAGG
rnacentral:rRNA from 1 species